GACGAACGCUGGCGGCGUGCUUAACACAUGCAAGUCGAACGGAAAGGCCCUGCUUUUGUGGGGUGCUCCAGUGGCGAACGGGUGAGUAACACGUGAGUAACCUGCCCUUGACUUUGGGAUAACUUCAGGAAACUGGGGCUAAUACCGGAUAGGAGCUCCUGCUGCAUGGUGGGGGUUGGAAAGUUUCGGCGGUUGGGGAUGGACUCGCGGCUUAUCAGCUUGUUGGUGGGGUAGUGGCUUACCAAGGCUUUGACGGGUAGCCGGCCUGAGAGGGUGACCGGCCACAUUGGGACUGAGAUACGGCCCAGACUCCUACGGGAGGCAGCAGUGGGGAAUAUUGCACAAUGGGCGGAAGCCUGAUGCAACAACGCCGCGUGCGGGAUGACGGCCUUCGGGUUGUAAACCGCUUUCGCCUGUGACGAAGCGUGAGUGACGGUAAUGGGUAAAGAAGCACCGGCUAACUACGUGCCAGCAGCCGCGGUGAUACGUANGGUGCGAGCGUUUGCCCGAUUUAUUGGGCCGUAAGGGCUCGUAGGUGGUUGAUCGCGUCGGAAGUGUAUCCUGGGGCUAACCCUGGACGUGCUUUCGAUACGGGUUGACUUGAGGAAGGGAGGGGAGAAUGGAAUUCCUGGUGGAGCGGUGGAAUGCGCAGAUAUCAGGAGGAACACCAGUGGCGAAGGGCGGUUCUCUGGGCCUUUCCUGACGCUGAGGAGCGAAAGCGUGGGGAGCGAACAGGCUUAGAUACCCUGGUAGUCCACCCUGUAAACGGUGGGUACUAGGUGUGGGGUCCAUUCCACGGGUUCCGUGCCGUAGCUAACGCUUUAAGUACCCCGCCUGGGGAGUACGGCCGCAAGGCUAAAACUCAAAGGAAUUGACGGGGCCCCGCACAAGCGGCGGAGCAUGCGGAUUAAUUCGAUGCAACGCGUAGAACCUUACCUGGGUUUGACAUGGAUCGGGAGCGCUCAGAGAUGGGUGUGCCUCUUUUGGGGUCGGUUCACAGGUGGUGCAUGGCUGUCGUCAGCUCGUGUCGUGAGAUGUUGGGUUAAGUCCCGCAACGAGCGCAACCCUUGUUCACUGUUGCCAGCACGUUAUGGUGGGGACUCAGUGGAGACCGCCGGGGUCAACUCGGAGGAAGGUGGGGAUGACGUCAAGUCAUCAUGCCCCUUAUGUCCAGGGCUUCACGCAUGCUACAAUGGCUGGUACAGAGAGUGGCGAGCCUGUGAGGGUGAGCGAAUCUCGGAAAGCCGGUCUCAGUUCGGAUUGGGGUCUGCAACUCGACCUCAUGAAGUCGGAGUCGCUAGUAAUCGCAGAUCAGCAACGCUGCGGUGAAUACGUUCCCGGGGCU
rnacentral:rRNA from 1 species